GGAUGUGAUCAUACCAGCACUAAAGCACCGGAUCCCAUUAGAACUCCGAAGUUAAGCGUGCUUGUGCGAGAGUAGUACUAGGAUGGUGACCUCCUGGGAAGUCCUCGUGUUGCAUUCCC
rnacentral:rRNA from 1 species